GACGAACGCUGGCGGCGUGCUUAACACAUGCAAGUCGAACGGAAAGGCCCGGCUUUUGUGGGGUGCUCGAGUGGCGAACGGGUGAGUAACACGUGAGUAACCUGCCCUUGACUGUGGGAUAACUUCAGGAAACUGGGGCUCAUACCGGAUAUGAGCUCCUGCUGCAUGGGGGGGGUUGGAAAGUUUCGGCGGUGCGGGAUGGACUCGCGGCUUAUCAGCUUGUUGGGGGGGUAGUGGCUUACCAAGGCUUUGACGGGUAGCCGGCCUGAGAGGGUGAACGGCCACAUUGGGACUGAGGUACGGCCCAGAAUCCUACGGGAGGCAGCAGUGGGAAGUAUUGCACAAUGGGCGGAAGCCUGAUGCAGCAGCGCCGCGUGCGGGAUGCCGGCUUUCGGGUUGUAAACCGCUUUCGACUGUGACGAAGAGUGAGUGACGGUAAUGGGUAAAGAAGCAACGGCUAACUACGUG
rnacentral:rRNA from 1 species